rnacentral:misc_RNA from 1 species
GAGAUUGUAAUAUAAUAGAUUACAGCUGAGCAAACGAUAAUCAGUUCAGAGAAGCCAACCACAGAGUUCAGAGUCUUGCUACGUUCAAUGGAGUCCACCCACCGGUCCAGUGGGAAUGCUUAAAUAUAAUGUUGACGUCAUAUAAAAUUAAUUAGAUUAUACUGUUUUUAAUAAUUAUUUAAAUAUGUUGUUAUAUCAUUAAAUUGA